rfam:Triticum aestivum genome assembly, contig: Triticum_aestivum_CS42_TGACv1_scaffold_019500_1AS
GGAUGUGAUCAUACCAGCGCUAAAGUAGCGGAUCCCAUCAGAACUCCGAACUUAAGCAUGCUUGGGCGAGAGUAGUACUAGGAUGGGCGACCUCUUGGGAAGUCCUCGUGUUGCAUUCC